UGGUCGAUGGUGAUGUGACCACUGUGCAGACUGAGUUUUGGGAACCAGGUGAUGGAGUGUGUUCUGAGACGUGGCAAGGCGG
ensembl:scaRNA